AACGAACGCUGGCGGCAUGCCUAACACAUGCAAGUCGAACGAGACCUUCGGGUCUAGUGGCGCACGGGUGCGUAACGCGUGGGAACCUGCCCUUAGGUUCGGAAUAACUCCCCGAAAGGGGUGCUAAUACCGGAUAAUGUCUUCGGACCAAAGAUUUAUCGCCUUUGGAUGGGCCCGCGUUGGAUUAGCUAGUUGGUAGGGUAAAAGCCUACCAAGGCGACGAUCCAUAGCUGGUCUGAGAGGAUGAUCAGCCACACUGGGACUGAGGCACGGCCCAGACUCCUACGGGAGGCAGCAGUGGGGAAUAUUGGACAAUGGGCGAAAGCCUGAUCCAGCAAUGCCGCGUGAGUGAUGAAGGCCUUAGGGUUGUAAAGCUCUUUUACCCGGGAUGAUAAUGACAGUACCGGGAGAAAAAGCUCCGGCUAACUCCGUG
rnacentral:rRNA from 1 species